UAACCAGCUGAUAACGCUAACUCACCCAUUGUUCGACCCAGGUGAAAUAAAGCUCCUGGGGGGGUCGUUUGGCUCGAAGUCGUGGUGCAAAGGACCCUAGGGGGAAAUUACUCCAAACCAUCACUUUAAGGCCUCUGAGUCUGAUCA